rnacentral:lncRNA from 1 species
UUUUUUUUUUUUUUUUUUGUUUUGAAUAUUUUGAAGUGUGUAGGUUAAAAAACUUUGAAAAGUUUUUUGAAGUUAUUAUAGUUAAAAUCGAUAAACAAAAAAUUAGUAGCAGACAAAUUUGGGUAAAAACCCAUUUGACAAACUGGCACACAAUGUAUGGUGAAAACACAUAUGUACACAUAAACACAUCUACAUGUCUUCGCAUAAAAAUGCACCUCUUAACCGAGGUAGCACUCGGACCAUCAAAAGCACAGUACAGUGUGGUGACUUUGACCAAAGUCAUCUAGCAUAACUCAAAAGCACGGUAGAGUCUGUCUUGACCCAAGUGAUCUAGCAUAACCAAAUGUAGCAGC